rnacentral:rRNA from 1 species
AAGCUCGUAGUUGAAUUUCGGGAUCAAAUUGUCGGUCGUGCCUCGGUACGUACUGGCAUUAUUGGUUCCUCCCUUCUGAAGAACCGCGAUGUCAUUAAUUUGGUGUCGCGGGGAAUCAGGACUGUUACUUUGAAAAAAUUAGAGUGUUUAAAGCAGGCUCGCGCUUGAAUACAUUAGCAUGGAAUAAUGAAAUAGGACGUUUGAUUCUAUUUUGUUGGUUUCUAGGAUCGACGUAAUGAUUAAUAGGGAUAGUUGGGGGCAUUAGUAUUCAAUUGUCAGAGGUGAAAUUCUUGGAUUUAUUGAAGACUAACUACUGCGAAAGCAUUUGCCAAGGAUGUUUUCAUUAAUCAAAAACGAAAGUUAGGGGAUCGAAGACGAUCAGAUACCGUCGUAGUCUUAACCAUAAACUAUGCCGACUAGGGAUCGGAUGAUGUUAAUUUUUUAAUGACUCAUUCGGCGCCUUACGGGAAACCAAAGUGUUUGGGUUCCGGGGGGAGUAUGGUCGCAAGGCUGAAACUUAAAGGAAUUGACGGAAGGGCACCACCAGGGGUGGAGCCUGCGGCUUAAUUUGACUCAACACGGGGAAACUCACCAGGUCCAGACAUAGUAAGGAUUGACAGAUUGAGAGCUCUUUCUUGAUUCUAUGGGUG